AAAAGAGGAGGAAGAGACACCAUUUCGAGCCUUUAAAUCUACACUCACUGGUUGUUUAAAAGAAGCGUAUUGUGUGAGGGACUGCCUCUAAAAUGAGUGGCCAUGAAAAAAGAGAAGAUGAGGGCACUGCCUCUAAAAUGUGUUCUCCAUCUCCUGGAUCAUGCUGCAUGUCUUCGAGCGAUGAAAAUAUAAGCAGUCUGCCCUCUGCAUCCAAUGAUGCAACAGUGACCUCUGACCUCAGCAUCAGUAGGAGGAGACCGAGAUCAGAGUCUCCAGAACCCAGUGGUGUAUCUGUGAAGAGUGACGGAUCUAUGGACAAACCUCUUGGAU